GAGUUUGAUCAUGGCUCAGAGCGAACGCUGGCGGCAUGCUUAACACAUGCAAGCCGCACGGGCACUUCGGUGUCAGUGGCGGACGGGUGAGUAACGCGUAGGUAUCUAUCCUUGGGUGGGGGACAACUGUGGGAAACUACAGCUAAUACCGCAUGAUAACUGAGGUUUAAAGGCGCAAGUCGCCUGGGGAGGAGCCUGCGUACGAUUAGCUAGUUGGUGGGGUAAAGGCCUACCAAGGCGACGAUCGUUAGCUGGUCUGAGAGGAUGAUCAGCCACAUUGGGACUGAGACACGGCCCAAACUCCUACGGGAGGCAGCAGUGGGGAAUAUUGGACAAUGGGCGCAAGCCUGAUCCAGCAAUGCCGCGUGUGUGAAGAAGGUCUUCGGAUUGUAAAGCACUUUCGACGGGGACGAUGAUGACGGUACCCGUAGAAGAAGCCCCGGCUAACUUCGUGCCAGCAGCCGCGGUAAUACG
rnacentral:rRNA from 1 species